GGUUUGAGGUUUCCUCGGCAGUUAACUGCCGAAGUUUUCAGUUUUCCUCGGUAGUUUACUGCCGAGGGGCAU
rfam:Medicago truncatula strain A17 chromosome 4, whole genome shotgun sequence.